rnacentral:lncRNA from 1 species
AAGUAAGGCUAUAUUUCCAUUUUGAAAAAUAUGGACCUGAAAAACAUGAAAAACAUUUCAAACGUGAAAAACGGCAAAAAAGUAAGGCUAUAUUUCCAUUUUUCACAAGUGGUCGAAAAACAGCAAAAAAGUAAGGCUAUCGGUCAGUAUAAUCUGCAGACUGCGGACUGCAGACCGGACUGGGUACAAAAUGCAGACUGGGGGUAUAAAAUGCAGACUGAGGAUGAAAUGCAGACUAGGGGUGAAUUAGGGAUAUUUUACAAAUUCCCACCAAGCCAUAGUCACGUGAUCGUUCUUGUUGAUAAUAUUUUAAAAUGUUGAAGCUAGUCAGUGUAGUCACUUUCAUCAAAAUGGACGAAGAAGACAGCGAUGUAGAGGUAUUGAUAUUAUUAUAUUAUUCUCAUUCAACCGUAAAACUUGAUAACUUUAACACAUUUCUUUGCGUUUAAUAUUUGAACGUUUCGUUCACAUUGCAUUGGGCCAUUGCAUUUUUAAACCGAACCCCCCC